rnacentral:rRNA from 1 species
CCUACGGGUGGCAGCAGUGGGGGAUAUUGCACAAUGGGGGAAACCCUGAUGCAGCGACGCCGCGUGUGGGAAGACGGUCCUCUGGAUUGUAAACCACUGUCCCCAGGGACGAAGAUGACGGUACCUGAAGAAUAAGCUCCGGCUAACUACGUGCCAGCAGCCGCGGUAAUACGUAGGGAGCAAGCGUUGUUCGGAAUGACUGGGCGUAAAGGGUGCGUAGGCGGUUAUACAAGUUAGAAGUGAAAUACCCAGGGCUUAACUCGGGUGCUGCUUCUAAAACUGUAAGACUUGAGUGCAGUAGAGGUUAGUGGAAUUCCUAGUGUAGCGGUGGAAUGCGUAGAUAUUAGGAGGAACACCAGAGGCGAAGGCGGCUAACUGGACUGCAACUGACGCUGAGGCACGAAAGUGUGGGGAGCAAACAGGAUUAGAUACCCCAGUAGUC